GAUGAACGCUGGCGGCGUGCCUAAUACAUGCAAGUCGAGCGAACGGACGAGAAGCUUGCUUCUCUGAUGUUAGCGGCGGACGGGUGAGUAACACGUGGAUAACCUACCUAUAAGACUGGGAUAACUUCGGGAAACCGUAGCUAAUACCGGAUAAUAUUUUGAACCGCAUGGUUCAAAAGUGAAAGACGGUCUUGCUGUCACUUAUAGAUGGAUCCGCGCUGCAUUAGCUAGUUGGUAAGGUAACGGCUUACCAAGGCAACGAUACAUAGCCGACCUGAGAGGGUGAUCGGCCACACUGGAACUGAGACACGGUCCAGACUCCUACGGGAGGCAGCAGUAGGGAAUCUUCCGCAAUGGGCGAAAGCCUGACGGAGCAACGCCGCGUGAGUGAUGAAGGUCUUCGGAUCGUAAAACUCUGUUAUUAGGGAAGAACAUAUGUGUAAGUAACUGUGCACAUCUUGACGGUACCUAAUCAGAAAGCCACGGCUAACUACGUG
rnacentral:rRNA from 1 species